rnacentral:tRNA from 1 species
AGAAACUUAGGAUAAAGCCCAAACCAGAAGCCUUCAAAGCCUCAAACAAGAGACAAACCUCUUAGUUUCUG